ACGCAACCCUUCGGGGUUGAGUGGCGGACGGGUGAGUAACGCGUGAGAAUCUGCCUUCAGGUUCGGGACAACCACUGGAAACGGUGGCUAAUACCGGAUGUGCCGCAACGUGAAAGAUUUAUCGCCUGAAGAUGAGCUCGCGUCUGAUUAGCUAGUUGGUGAGGUAAAGGCUCACCAAGGCGACGAUCAGUAGCUGGUCUGAGAGGAUGACCAGCCACACUGGGACUGAGACACGGCCCAGACUCCUACGGGAGGCAGCAGUGGGGAAUUUUCCGCAAUGGGCGAAAGCCUGACGGAGCAAGACCGUGUGAGGGAGGAAGGCCCUUGGGUUGUAAACCUCUUUUGUCAGGGAAGAACACAAUGACGGUACCUGACGAAUCAGCCUCGACUAACUCCGUGCCAGCAGCCGCGGUAAUACGGAGGAGGCAAGCGUUAUCCGGAAUUAUUGGGCGUAAAGCGUCCGCAGGUGGCUAUUCAAGUCUGCUGUCAAAGACCGGGGCUUAACCCUGGAAAGGCGGUGGAAACUGAAUGGCUAGAGAGAGGUAGGGGUAGAGGGA
rnacentral:rRNA from 1 species